GGAUAUGAUCAGUAUGUUGCUUAUGUAGCACAUGCCUUUUUGUGAAUUCGAAUCACGCCGUUAGAUAUUUUCAUUAUCCUAAAAUCUAGAAACACUGUCACAAGCACAACUACACAAGCAGUAACCUGGAAAAGUAUUCAGUCCCUUUACACUUUUCUGUUAUGAACACAAAUAUUGCAUUUUAUUGAGAUUUGAUUUGAUAAAUUAAUGAUUUGUGGUGUACAAGUGUUAAGGAGGAAAGUUAAACCUGGUUCACAAAAAUCUUUUACAAAGACAAAAGUCUCCAAAGUGUGCCAGGCAUUCAUACUUCCCCCCUUUUGAGUCAAUACUUUGUAGAUUCAGUUGUCGCAGCAAUUUCAGCUGCAGAGUACGUUUCUGCUCACGAUACACACCAAGAGAUGGUCAUUUUGACCCAUUGUCUGGGUAAAGACAAGCAGUCUAUACCCACACAAAGCUCCAAGCUCAUUCAAGUUGGACAGAGAGCCUCUACUAACAAAACCUGUUUAGCCCUAAGGAGCUUUAGAAGUACUUUCCACCUGGAAAUAUAUAACAAAACUGUUGUUAGUUGUUACCAGACCUAAUUUAUUAGCAAUAAAAACGUUUCUCCAGAAGGUGCAAAAUGCUACAAAAAUCCUUGUCAGAAUACAAAAGAUAUGCCUCCGACUGUUAAAUCUGCAUCUCGACUAAAACUAAAGUAGAACUGAAUCAGUUGAAGUAAAUUUACUCUGGAGGUUUAGAGACAUGUACCAAGCUGACACUGCAUGAAAAGUGAGAUUUUCGACAGCUAUUGACGCCUAGUUCUGCCGUGCGCAUGGAGAUUGAGGGCUAUCGGCAAGAGGUUUUUGUCAGAGUGGAAAAUUGUAGAGCACUGCCAGGAAUGGUCAAAAACGCAGUGUGUCCGCGUUCCCCUAUUUUAUACUACAGUUUUCACGGUGUCGAUGAAAAGAAAGGUCGAGAUUAAACUGCACCCGUUUGAAACUCCCUGCGUCUGGCUGUUCAAUCCGAGUGGCCGCGACAUAUAGUUUAAUUAGAAACAGACUUAUCCGCUCCCCUGCAGCCCCUGGCUCGUCUCGCCCGCUCUGUCAGGGCAGAGCGGCUCGUUAAGCAGAAAGAACCACCGUUUCCCGCUGGUUUUUGGCAAUGUGUAAAAAGCAAAAAUAAGACAAUAUCUAGUGUUCAUGAUUGCUAAUUUUAUUGUUAUUGUUACUAUUAAUUACAAAAACAUUUAUUUAAAGUUGGUGCUGAAAGUUAUUCAGCACUAAGUUAGUGUUUAAGUUAAGUUUUACUUAUAAAUUAAAUUAUAUGUGUCAUUUUAUUUUAUUAAGUGCUUUAUUUUUUAGGAACAUAAAAUUACUCUGAACAUUUGAAAUUGCUGGCGAAUUACAAGUUAUUUGCAGUGGAGACAACUAUAAGAUUGAAUUCAGUCAUUCUUAAAGUUUGAUUUGUGAUUUUGUCUUUUCUGAUAGAUUUUGUAAUUUUACAUCCAGGAUCUUCAGGAGAAUUGAGCAAAACUCAUUGUUCUCAAUGAAGACCUUCUGUAUGGCCAAGAACAUGAGUCUGCUCCCUCAUGGUAUUGAAGCUCAGAAGAAAUGUUCUCUAACGUGUUUUCAUGCUUUUUAGUUACUGCAACAUUUUAACACUAGCUUAUGUUUGAUCCAGAAGAUGAUGUAGUCCUGCAGCUGCUGCCAGUUCUCCUCCCUGCUCCACCUCUUACUCAUUUGGGAGAAGAGUUUCAGACCCAUCAACCUGGAAGUUCAGAAGGUUUCAUUGAUAUCCAGCCUGGAAGUCAACCUUCAUCUCUGAAUCAUGCUCCAAUUGUUUGCUGUUUAAAUAAGUGCAUCACUAAUGGCCUGUUUUUUCUGUCUUCUCUCUCCAUCAGGAUGGGACAAAGCUGGUGGCACAUCUACAAAAUGCGACAAGCCGUUACGUUUGACGACCCGGAGGCAGGUCCUGACCAGGAGGCAGGUCCUGCUAGUAGGUAGGUCGGGUCUCGGAGGUAGGUCCUGACUCAGAGGCAGGUCCUGUCUCAGAGGCAGGUCCGGUCUCAGAGGCAGGUCCCUAUCCAGAGGCAGGUCCUGUCUCACAGGCAGGUCCGUCUCAGAGGCAGGUCCUGUCUCAGAGGCAGGUCCUAGCUCGGAGGUAGGUCCUGACUCAGAGGCAGGUCCUGUCUCAGAGGCAGGUCCUGUCUCAGAGGCAGGUCCGGUCUCAGAGGCAGGUCCUGACUCAGAGGCAGGUCCUGUCUCAGAGGCAGGUCCUGACUCGGGUUCUUGCCUCUCUUCUGUGUCCAAAGCGUCUCCACAACAGGCAGCCUUUUUGAUGACCUUCCAUGUCUUUUGAAGGAAGUUUUCUUGAAGAUGUAUUUUUCUCGGUCGUGCCAGGUUCCUUCUGAAGCUCUGUACCACCUUGUAAAUUACUACUGGGUUGUCACUUUUGAUCAUCUUGAACAACAACUCUCUAACCACAUCUUCAUUGCCCUAGAGAAGUUGCAAGAUGUCUCGGCAGAGUUUUCGUUCCAUAUUCUCAAAAAAGACGAAAUCUAUGUCUUUUACUUCCUACCAGAUUUUUGGAGCAAGCUUUUUAUGUUCAGGUUCGGUGUGCUUCAUUUUGUAAGCCGCAUAACUAGAUCUGUUACUGGACUUAUAAAUUAAUCUCCAAAGAAUUUGUUCCACCAUAACUCUCCUUUCAUCUUCGGUUCCACGUUUGAAACCCAUCUUUGUUCGCUUCCUUCACAAAUUCUUCAGGAUCCAUUCCUGCCUUAGUAAAAUCCUCACACAGGCAGUUUUCAUCUGAGUACAAGUCCUCAUUAGGAAAAAAAAAAGUAUUUCUAAUCUUUCUUUUUGUAGACUUAAACAUUUUCUUUGGAGGAACAGGAUUCUCCAGGUGACGCUUGAAUUUUUCCACAAUUACUUCAUGUCCUUCUGGGUAAUCCAUUAGUGCAAUUAAAUGCAGUCCAGAGGCAAAGUGGAAUGCAUCUCUUGCAAUACUCUGGAAAAUCCGUUCACUUAGCUCUUCUGAUACCUCCGAGAGUACGUCCACGUUUAAUUCUCCAGUUUUUCUCAAAAGCAAUAUCAAAAUUUUGCUGUGUUGUUCCUCAAAGUUUUGUCUGACAAGAUGUAGAGUUGGACCAUCUGCAGCCUUUUCGAUCACUUCCCACAGAAGUUCACUGAGAAAGUUUCUCUUCUUGUAAUCUGGGCUUCUUUGUCCAGGAUGAACUUUGUUGGACAAUGUUUUUUUGACUUUUGUCCAAAAAGAGACUUGAGGCCUCACAUGACACAGACAUCAUUUGAAAUCAUGCUGAUGACAUCAUUGUCAGCAGCAUGGCAACUGUUGCUAGGGCUAAUUAUAGCAUGCAGUGAGCAUGUGCUAUGAAAAAAAAUAGAACCUGUGGGCACUAAAUGCAUUAUUCCCACAAAUCUGAACUGGCAGUGAUCUGCGCAGCUUCGCCGGAACAGGAGGGGCCAGGGAACCAUCGGCUUUGGGCCAACGGGUAGGGCACUUUACUGCCUUACCCAUUUCUGUAAUUUGGGUUCCAUCUCCUAACAGGCAUAGGGCAAGUGUCAGUGGAACCGCUACAUCCAACCAGUUACUCAGCAAAUCCACCGCUUUAACCCAGAAGGGUUUAACCAUCUUUCUAUUCCCAUAUUCAGUGUAAAAAAGUUCCUACUUUUCAUCUGCUCCCCGGCGCAGGAAUCUGCUGCGAAUGAACGGUAGAUGCUCCGCUCGGUUUGGUCGCAGUCACGAGGUCAUAUUUAUAUUUUUUUCUGCAUAUUUUACAAAGUGAUUCUCUGUCACCUGGUCAUCCAGGCAAAGUCGUGAAAACGUAUAUUUUCUCAUGGUGACUCACUAGUCUCAAACGUUAGGCGCUUCCAACACUACGCAUGCGCACAGCAGAUCGGACAGCGAAACCAAUCGAGUCUGUUAACAUCAGCUCAGGUCCUGGGAGUAGAUAUCAUUUUUUAAUACAGAUUUUAUAGUUAAAGGAACUUAAAACAAAAAGUCAUCAUGAAUGUAAAAUUCUAAAUACAUAUAUUGAAGGAUCAUGAAAUGUUUAUUGAAAAAUUAACUAACAAGUCAAAUUCUAUUUGUUACCUUUUACUACCUUUUACUGGCCUUUAUUUGAGCUAAUUUAAUUUACUACCUUUUACUACCGUGUGGAAACCUUGUUACAUGAGGCAAGAAGCUUCUGGCAGUGAUUUAAUAAAUUGUUGAAGCUUGAAUUUACAUAGAAUUUCUGUAAAGUUUUACCACAGGUCAGUUUUUGCCUUCUCCAACAUUCAAAGCAAUUAAGAUGAAGUUUUUUUUAUCAAAGUCCUGUGUGUUCACCAGUUGGACUCUCACACCUAGCGCAGCAUCACAGUAGUGUGAUGACAAAUGUGACACAAUAAUGUCUCAUGUUUUGUAGUAGAGACAUUUUUCUGUCCUCCAGUCAAUGAACUGUGUUGUGUGGCUCUAGUAGCUCCACCUUAACCAUAUGGUACCGUUGUUUUUUGGACCUACACUAAAUGAGUUUAUUCAAGGUUUAUUCAGGACUUCCGUUCCAGAUAAAAACAAUCUAAAUAAUAUGUAAAUAAAUGUAUAUAUAUUCAGAAUAGCGAAAGUGUUUCACAAAUAGCCAGUCGGUACCAGUCGGCUGUAUGGGCCACUUUUACUUUGAACAGUCAAAAUAGCCUACAAAACUGUACCAACCCAUGCUUCUCAGUGGAAACGAGGCAUUAGAAGUCCUAACAUGGUACCUGGAGCAGGGAGGAUAGAAGUGAAUAAUGAGGCCAGGAAGUGUAGGGCGAAGAUGGGUGAGAGUAAUGAGGUGGAGGACAAGAGAUGAGAACUGUAGUGACACCCUAUGGAGAAAUAGGUGGGUGCUAUCAAAAGAACGUAGCACAAUGAAAGGUGUUAUGUUUUAUGCAAGAGAUUCCAGUGCAGCUGCAGUUGGUUUCUAUAGACACAGAGAGGUUGUAUAAAUAUUUUAAUAUUGUAAAAAAUGCACUAAUUGUGAGGAAUUAUUAUGAGAAACUAUUAAUUUUGAAUACACCACAAAACCUGAGCUGUCAUUUUAGCACGAUUUAGCCAAAAGUGCCAAAUUUGAUUUGUGCCUUAUAAGAGGGAAUCUUGUCGAACAAAAGGAGAUUAUUUCUUUAUAAAACAUAACAUUUGGUCUUGACACUUCUCUUGUUUAUUGUCAAAAUGUGCCCAUUCUGCACAACAACAAAUCAGUAAAAAGUAAAAAAAAUUAAACUGAAUUGCUGUGUAGAUUAACUGGCAUCAUGGGAUGCAUGUUCAAUCAAAUAAAGUCUCAAUAAAGUUUGGGACAUUGGAUGCUUCAGGGGUUCUGAACACCAUGGCAGUGAAC